GUAAAUACCUUAACGAGGAACAAUUGGAGGGCAAGUCUGGUGCCAGCAGCCGCGGUAAUUCCAGCUCCAAAAGCGUAUAUUAAAGUUGUUGCAGUUAAAAAGCUCGUAGUUGAACCUUGGGCUUGGUUGGCCGGUCCAUCUUUUUGGAUGCGUACUGGACCCAACCGAGCCUUUCCUUCUGGCUAGCCUUUUGGCGAACCAGGACUUUUACUUUGAAAAAAUUAGAGUGUUCAAAGCAGGCCUUUGCUCGAAUAUAUUAGCAUGGAAUAAUAGAAUAGGACGUUAUGGUUCUAUUUUGUUGGUUUCUAGGACCAUC
rnacentral:rRNA from 1 species